rnacentral:rRNA from 1 species
GACGUAGGGGGCAAGCGUUGUCCGGAAUCAUUGGGCGUAAAGAGCGUGUAGGCGGCUCGAUAAGUCUGCUGUGAAAGUCCAGGGCUCAACCCUGGAAGGCCGGUGGAAACUGUCGGGCUAGAGUCCGGAAGAGGCGAGUGGAAUUCCCGGUGUAGCGGUGAAAUGCGCAGAUAUCUGGAGGAACACCGGUGGCGAAGGCAGAUCUCUGGGCCGUAACUGACGCUGAGGAGCGAAAGCAUGGGGAGCGAACAGG